GCUUUAGGAGGGGCUUGCGCCAUAUUAGUUAGUUGGUAGGGUAAUGGCCUACCAAGACGAUGAUGUGUAGCUGGACUGAGAGGUUGAACAGCCACAUUGGGACUGAGACACGGCCCAAACUCCUACGGGAGGCAGCAGUAGGGAAUUUUCGGCAAUGGAGGAAACUCUGACCGAGCAACGCCGCGUGAAUGACGAAGUACUUCGGUAUGUAAAGUUCUUUUAUCAAGGAAGAAAAGCAAAUGGCGAACCAUUUGUUUGCCGGUACUUGAUGAAUAAGCCCCGGCUAAUUAUGUGCCAGCAGCCGCGGUAAGACAUAAGGGGCAAGUGUUAUCCGGAAUUAUUGGGCGUAAAGGGUGCGUAGGCGGUCUAGUAAGUCAGUGGUGUAAUGGCAACGCUUAACGUUGUCCGGCUAUUGAAACUGCUAAACUUGAGUUAGAUAGAGGCGAGUGGAAUUCCAUGUGUAGCGGUAAAAUGCGUAAAUAUAUGGAGGAACACCAGAGGCGUAGGCGGCUCGCUGGGUCUUAACUGACGCUGAGGCACGAAAGCGUGGGGAGCAAACAGGAUUAGAUACCCUGGUAGUCCACGCCGUAAACGAUGAGUACUAAGUGUCGGGUUAAACCGGUACUGAAGUUAACACAUUAAGUACUCCGCCUGAGUAGUACGUACGCAAGUAUGAAACUUAAAGGAAUUGACGGGACUCCGCACAAGCGGUGGAUCAUGUUGUUUAAUUCGAAGAUACCCGAAAAACCUUACCAGGUCUUGACAUGUUUUUGCAAAAUGAUAGUAAAUAUCGUGGAGGUUACCAGAAACACAGGUGGUGCAUGGUUGUCGUCAGCUCGUGUCGUGAGAUGUUAGGUUAAGUCCUAAAACGAGCGAAACCCUUAUCGUUAGUUGCCAGCACGUUAUGGUGGGGACUUUAACGAGACUGCCAAUGAUAAAUUGGAGGAAGGUGAGGAUCACGUCAAAUCAGCAUGCCCCUUAUGACCUGGGCUACAAACGUGAUACAAUGGCUGUUACAAAGGGUAGCUGAAACGCAAGUUCUUGGCCAAUCCCCAAAAACAGUCCCAGUCCGGAUUGAAGUCUGCAACUCGACUUCAUGAAGUUGGAAUCGCUAGUAAUCGCGAAUCAGCAUGUCGCGGUGAAUACGUUCUCGGGGUUUGUACACACCGCCCGUCAAACCACGAAAGUUGGCAAUACCCCAAAACGGUAGCCUAA
rnacentral:rRNA from 1 species